GACGACGCUGGCGGCGUGCCUAACACAUGCAAGUCGAGCGGGGUUGAAGCGAGAGGUAACUCGAGCUUCUACCUAGCGGCGGACGGGUGAGUAACGCGUGGGCAACCUGCCUCAAGGUUUGGGAUAACAGCCCGAAAGGGCUGCUAAUACCGGAUAUGCCUAUGGCCUCGCAUGGGGCUAUGAGCAAAGGGGAAACCCGCCUUGAGAUGGGCCCGCGUCCCAUCAGCUAGUUGGUGAGGUAACAGCUCACCAAGGCGACGACGGGUAGCCGGCCUGAGAGGGUGACCGGCCACACUGGGACUGAGACACGGCCCAGACUCCUACGGGGGGCAGCAGUGGGGGAUCUUGCACAAUGGGCGAAAGCCUGAUGCAGCGACGCCGCGUGAGCGAAGAAGGCCUUCGGGUUGUAAAGCUCUGUCUGGAGGGACGAACAAAAUGACGGUACCUCCGGAGGAAGCCACGGCUAACUACGUG
rnacentral:rRNA from 1 species